rnacentral:rRNA from 16 species
UAGAGUAUACUAAGGGGCGCGAGCUAACUCUCUCUAAGGAACUCGGCAAAAUAACUCCGUAACUUCGGGAGAAGGAGUGCCUUAUUCGUAAGGCUGCAAUAACAAGAUCCAAGCAACUGUUUAUCAAAAACACAGGUCUCCGCUAAGUCGUAAGACGAUGUAUGGGGGCUGACGCCUGCCCAGUGCCAGAAGGUUAAAGAAGUUGGUUAGCAUUUGCGAAGCUGAUGACUGAAGCCCUGGUGAACGGCGGCCGUAACUAUAACGGUCCUAAGGUAGCGAAAUUCCUUGUCGGGUAAGUUCCGACCCGCACGAAAGGCGUAACGAUCUGGGUACUGUCUCAGAGAGAGACUCGGUGAAAUAGAACUGACUGUGAAGAUGCGGUCUACUUGCACUUGGACAGAAAGACCCUAUGAAGCUUUACUGUAACUUGAAAUUGGUUUCGGGCUCUUCUUGCGCAGUAUAGAUGGGAGGCUUUGAAGAAUUCUUUCGGGAAUAUCUGAGCUGUUAGUGAGAUACCAUUCUGGGAGAGUUAGAAAUCUAAAGACAGUUCUUGAAUCAGAAUGUUUGACAGUUUCAGGCGGGCAGUUUUACUGGGGCGGUAGCCUCCUAAAAGGUAACGGAGGCGUGCAAAGGUUCUCUCAGGUUAGACGGAAAUUAACCGAAGAGUGUAAAGGCAUAAGAGAGCUUAACUGUAAGACCUAGAAGUCGAGCAGGAACGAAAGUUGGCCUUAGUGAUCCGACGGUUCUUAGUGGAAAGGCCGUCGCUUAACCGAUAAAAGUUACUCUAGGGAUAACAGGCUGAUCUCCCCCAAGAGUUCACAUCGACGGGGAGGUUUGGCACCUCGAUGUCGGCUCAUCGCAGCCUGGGGCGGUAGUACGUCCCAAGGGUUGGGCUGUUCGCCCAUGAAAGCGGUACGCGAGCUGGGUUCAGAACGUCGUGAGACAGUUCGGUCCAUAUCCGGUGUAGGCGUUAGAAUAUUGAGAGGAGCCUUCUUUAGUACGAGAGGACCGAGAAGGACAUACCUAUGGUGUACCAGUUAUCGUGCCAACGGUAAACGCUGGGUAGCUAAGUAUGGAGUGGAUAACCGCUGAAAGCAUCUAAGUGGGAAGCCCACCUCAAGAUGAGUACUCUUACCAUCUAAUAAUGGUUAA